rnacentral:rRNA from 1 species
GCAAGUCGAGCGAGACGGUUGUGAAAGAUCCUUCGGGUGAUUGAUCAACUAGACAGCGGCGGACGGGUGAGUAACGCGUGGAUAACCUGCCUUAUACUGGGGGAUAACGUUUUGAAAAGAACGCUAAUACCGCAUAAGCGCACAGCAUCACAUGAUGCAGUGUGAAAAACUCCGGUGGUAUAAGAUGGACCCGCGUCAGAUUAGCUAGUUGGUGAGAUAAAAGCUCACCAAGGCGACGAUCUGUAGCCGACCUGAGAGGGUGAUC